rnacentral:rRNA from 1 species
UACGUAGGCAGCAAGCGUUGUUCGGAGUUACUGGGCGUAAAGGGUGCGUAGGCGGCUUCUUAAGUCUGGUGUGAAAUCUCCCGGCUCAACUGGGAGGGUGCGCCGGAUACUGAGGGGCUAGAGUGUGGGAGAGGAAAGUGGAAUUCCUGGCGUAGCGGUGAAAUGCGUAGAUAUCAGGAGGAACACCGGUGGUGUAAACGGCUUUCUGGACCAUAACUGACGCUGAGGCACGAAAGCGUGGGUAGCAAACAGG